UNUGACUUGAGUGCAGAAGGGGAGAGUGGAAUUCCAUGUGUAGCGGUGAAAUGCGUAGAUAUAUGGAGGANCACCAGUGGCGAAAGCGGCUCUCUGGUCUGUCACUGACGCUGAGGCUCGAAAGCGUGGGUAGCGAACAGGAUUAGAUACCCUGGUAGUCCACGCCGUAAACGAUGAGUGCUAGGUGUUAGGCCCUUUCCGGGGCUUAGUGCCGGAGCUAACGCAAUAAGCACUCCGCCUGGGGAGUACGACCGCAAGGUUGAAACUCAAAGGAAUUGACGGGGGCCCGCACAAGCGGUGGAGCAUGUGGUUUAAUUCGAAGCAACGCGAAGAACCUUACCAGGUCUUGACAUCCCGAUGCUAUUCUUAGAGAUAGGAAGUUACUUCGGUACAUCGGAGACAGGUGGUGCAUGGUUGUCGUCAGCUCGUGUCGUGAGAUGUUGGGUUAAGUCCCGCAACGAGCGCAACCCUUAUUGUUAGUUGCCAUCAUUAAGUUGGGCACUCUAGCGAGACUGCCGGUAAUAAACCGGAGGAAGGUGGGGAUGACGUCAAAUCAUCAUGCCCCUUAUGACCUGGGCUACACACGUGCUACAAUGGUCGGUACAACGAGUUGCGAGCCGGUGACGGCAAGCUAAUCUCUGAAAGCCGAUCUCAGUUCGGAUUGGAGGCUGCAACUCGCCUCCAUGAAGUCGGAAUCGCUAGUAAUCGCGGAUCAGCACGCCGCGGUGAAUACGUUCCCGGGCCUUGUACACACCGCCCGUCACACCACGAGAGUUUGUAACACCCG
rnacentral:rRNA from 1 species